GAUGAACGCUGGCGGCGUGCCUAAUACAUGCAAGUCGAGCGAAUGGAUUAAGAGCUUGCUCUUAUGAAGUUAGCGGCGGACGGGUGAGAAACACGUGGGUAACCUGCCCAUAAGACUAGGAUAACUCCGGGAAACCGGGGCUAAUACCGGAUAACAUUUUGAACCGCAUGGUUCGAAAUUGAAAGGCGGCUUCGGCUGUCACUUAUGGAUGGACCCGCGUCGCAUUAGCUAGUUGGUGAGGUAACGGCUCACCAAGGCAACGAUGCGCAGCCGACCUGAGAGGGUGAUCGGCCACACUGGGACUGAGACACGGCCCAGACUCCUACAGGAGGCAGCAGUAGGGAAUCUUCCGCAAUGGACGAAAGUCUGACGGAGCAACGCCGCGUGAGUGAUGAAGGCUUUCGGGUCGUAAAACUCUGUUGUUAAGGAAGAACAAGUGCUAGUUGAAUAAGCUGGCACCUUGACGGUACCUAACCAGAAAGCCACGGCUAACUACGUGCCAGCCGCCGCGGUAA
rnacentral:rRNA from 1 species